AUGGUGGCGGCAUGGGAGAGAGAGAGAGGAGGACGAGAAGGAGUAGGAGAGGUGGCGGCGCGAAGAUCUGCGCCCAAUCCAGAAUCAUGGUGUGCGGCACGUGAUGCCGGUGACCUGCGCCCGACUCUGCUGGACCGAGAACUGCCGCCCCCACUGCUGCACCUCAAGUGCCGGGGAGAGAAGGCAGCGUCGGCCGCCGCGUGCGAAGAAGAGGAUGGAGCCGGCGGCGCGGCGGGAGGGAAGGAAGGGAUCGGGGGAGGGGAGAGCACGGGAGAGAAGGCACGGGAUAUUUUUCACCCCGGUCGAUCCAGGUUUUCAUCGCUGCUCUCGCUCCCAGAAACCCAUCUCCACCACGAGGAAGCAAAAAACCAGCUGAUUCCUGGACCCCCACAGUUAACAAGGCCCACACGUCAUUUACCUAUUGUACCAGUCAUGUAUGUACAAAACAAUCCACGGUUUACCAGGCGCAGCCAAAAAAAAACUGUAGCAGCUCGAUCGGGUGGACCACGACGUCGCGCGCGAGCAAUGCCGCUAGAAUGGCGGGUACUCUAG
rnacentral:rRNA from 1 species